CUGUGAGGUAUGCUGGAGGUAUCAGAAGUGCGAAUGCUGACAUAAGUAACGAUAAAGCGGGUGAAAAGCCCGCUCGCCGGAAGACCAAGGGUUCCUGUCCAACGUUAAUCGGGGCAGGGUGAGUCGACCCCUAAGGCGAGGCCGAAAGGCGUAGUCGAUGGGAAACAGGUUAAUAUUCCUGUACUUGGUGUUACUGCGAAGGGGGGACGGAGAAGGCUAUGUUGGCCGGGCGACGGUUGUCCCGGUUUAAGCGUGUAGGCUGGUUUUCCAGGCAAAUCCGGAAAAUCAAGGCUGAGGCGUGAUGACGAGGCACUACGGUGCUGAAGCAACAAAUGCCCUGCUUCCAGGAAAAGCCUCUAAGCAUCAGGUAACAUCAAAUCGUACCCCAAACCGACACAGGUGGUCAGGUAGAGAAUACCAAGGCGCUUGAGAGAACUCGGGUGAAGGAACUAGGCAAAAUGGUGCCGUAACUUCGGGAGAAGGCACGCUGAUAUGUAGGUGAAG
rnacentral:rRNA from 1 species